rnacentral:tRNA from 1 species
CAGAGGAUAGUUUAAAUAAAAUUUUAAUUUUGGAGAUUAAAGAUGGAAUAAUUUUCUUUCUCUGA